rnacentral:rRNA from 1 species
GACGAACGCUGGCGGCGCGCCUAACACAUGCAAGUCGAACGGAGCUUAGAGAGCUUGCUUUUUAAGCUUAGUGGCGAACGGGUGAGUAACGCGUGAGUAACCUGCCCUAGAGUGGGGGACAACAGUUGGAAACGACUGCUAAUACCGCAUAAGCCCACGGUACCGCAUGGUACUGAGGGAAAAGGAUUUAUUCGCUUUAGGAUGGACUCGCGUCCAAUUAGCUAGUUGGUGAGGUAACGGCCCACCAAGGCGACGAUUGGUAGCCGGACUGAGAGGUUGAACGGCCACAUUGGGACUGAGACACGGCCCAGACUCCUACGGAGGCAGCAGUGGGGGAUAUUGCACAAUGGGGGAAACCCUGAUGCAGCGACGCCGCGUGGAGGAAGAAGGUUUUCGGAUUGUAAAACUCCUGUCGUUAGGGGACGAUAAAUGACGGU